rnacentral:rRNA from 1 species
CCCUUAGAUGUUCUGGGCCGCACGCGCGCUACACUGACGAAUGCAACGAGCUUAUAACCUUGGCCGAAAGGUCUGGGUAAUCUCCAAAUUUCGUCGUGAUGGGGAUAGAUUAUUGCAAUUAUUAAUCUUCAACGAGGAAUGCCUAGUAAGCGCAAGUCAUCAGCUUGCGUUGAUUACGUCCCUGCCCUUUGUACACACCGCCCGUCGCUCCUACCGAUUGAAUGGUCCGGUGAAGCGCUCGGACCGCGGCCUCUUGACGGUUCGCUGUCGAUUGGCUGUGGGAAGUUCGUUAAACCUUAUCAUUUAGAGGAAGGAGAAGUCGUAACA